rnacentral:lncRNA from 1 species
UUAAUUAAUUAUCUGAAAAUGAUUUUAUUUUCUAAAAAAUAUACAAGGAAUGAAAGUACAUGUAAAAGCAUAACUAUAAAACACCCACUUAAUAAUAGAUAUAGUUUGGGUCUCGGGUAGUCGGUCGGGUCGCCAGAUUACUCCUCCUUCAUUUCUCCCCAAAUCUUUCCUCCACGUUGGCGUCGUUCCUUUCCUCUCCGGUCUCGCCAACGUUCACCUUCUUGACGGCUUCAGCAUUCCUUCCCUUCUCCUUCACGUCUUCUUCUCGCGGAUUCCUUUAGGAAUGCUGCCUCUAUUGCUGAUGAUGGCAUUCCGAUGGUUCAGUUCAGUUGCUUACACAAAAUACAAGAUCAUGAUCCUACUUAAAGGUUAUCAAAUUCAAAGAAAAUUAAAACCUUAACAUAACUUGAACUUGGCGACAUGAAUUGAAAUAGAUUUUUCGUCUUUUAAUAAUUUCAAAUAUUCGUGACCACACAGUAGAGGUGGCAAUAAUAGACACGAAUUGUCAAACCUACCUCACAGGAACCAACUUCAAAAUAAGUCGCCAUUUUUUUCAAAACCAAAAUUUUUCACCAAAAUGUAUAGGCUGCCUAGUUUAAAACAAAAUAGGAACUAUCAUUAAUUGUAAAGUUCAAACUAUCAACAGAUGAUUUAGGGUUACCAUCAUUGCAAAACGCUGCUGGCCUUUUUGGAUCUUGAACAAUCCAAUUUUUAUAAAGCAGACAACUUCCGAUGUAUUAGAUGAACUACAAAGACUUUCAUCCAAU